GUGCUUGCUUCAGCAGCACAUUUACUAAAGUUGGAACAAUACAGAGAAAAUUAACAUGACCACUAUGCAAUGACAACACACAAAUUUGUGAAUCUUCCAUAUUUUUU
ensembl:snRNA U6 U6 spliceosomal RNA